rnacentral:rRNA from 1 species
AACACAGCACUUUGCAGAAAUGAUAAAUUAAAGUAUAAGGUGUGAACUCUGCUCCAUGUUCAUUAUAUAAAUAAUAAAUUUGAAAGAAUAUAUUAAUAAAUAUGAAUAAAUAGCAGCCUUAUUAUGAGGGUUAUAAUGUAGCGAAAUACCUUGGCCACUAAAUAUGGUCCCGCAUGAAUGACGUAAUGAUACAACAACUGUCUCAUCCUUAAGCCAAGUGAAAUUGAAAUGGUAGUG